AGAGUUUGAUCCUGGCUCAGAUUGAACGCUGGCGGCAGGCCUAACACAUGCAAGUCGAACGGUAACAGGAAACAGCUUGCUGUUUCGCUGACGAGUGGCGGACGGGUGAGUAAUGUCUGGGAAACUGCCUGAUGGAGGGGGAUAACUACUGGAAACGGUAGCUAAUACCGCAUAACGUCGCAAGACCAAAGAGGGGGACCCUCGGGCCUCUUGCCAUCGGAUGUGCCCAGAUGGGAUUAGCUUGUUGGUGGGGUAACGGCUCACCAAGGCGACGAUCCCUAGCUGGUCUGAGAGGAUGACCAGCCACACUGGAACUGAGACACGGUCCAGACUCCUACGGGAGGCAGCAGUGGGGAAUAUUGCACAAUGGGCGCAAGCCUGAUGCAGCCAUGCCGCGUGUAUGAAGAAGGCCUUCGGGUUGUAAAGUACUUUCAGCGGGGAGGAAGGGAGUAAAGUUAAUACCUUUGCUCAUUGACGUUACCCGCAGAAGAAGCACCGGCUAACUCCGUGCCAGCAGCCGCGGUAAUACGGAGGGUGCAAGCGUUAAUCGGAAUUACUGGGCGUAAAGCGCACGCAGGCGGUUUGUUAAGUCAGAUGUGAAAUCCCCGGGCUCAACCUGGGAACUGCAUCUGAUACUGGCAAGCUUGAGUCUCGUAGAGGGGGGUAGAAUUCCAGGUGUAGCGGUGAAAUGCGUAGAGAUCUGGAGGAAUACCGGUGGCGAAGCGGCCCCCUGGACGAAGACUGACGCUCAGUGCGAAAGCGUGGGGAGCAGACAGGAUUAGAUACCCUGGUAGUCCACGCCGUAAACGAUGUCGACUUGGAGUUGUGCCCUUGAGGCGUGGCUUNNNAGCUAACGCGUAAGUC
rnacentral:rRNA from 1 species